rnacentral:rRNA from 2 species
UGGGGGAUAUUGCACAAUGGAGGAAACUCUGAUGCAGCGACGCCGCGUGAGGGAAGACGGUCUUCGGAUUGUAAACCUCUGUCUUUGGGGAAAAAGAUGAUGGUACCCAAAGAGGAAGCUCCGGCUAACUACGUGCCAGCAGCCGCGGUAAUACGUAGGGAGCGAGCGUUGUCCGGAAUUACUGGGUGUAAAGGGAGCGUAGGCGGGAGCGCAAGUUGGAUGUUUAAACUAUCGGCUCAACCGGUAACUGCAUCCAAAACUGCGUUUCUUGAGUGAAGUAGAGGCAGGCGGAAUUCCUAGUGUAGCGGUGAAAUGCGUAGAUAUUAGGAGGAACACCAGUGGCGAAGGCGGCCUGCUGGGCUUUUACUGACGCUGAGGCUCGAAAGCGUGGGGAGCAAACAGG